UGGGGAAUAUUGCACAAUGGGCGCAAGCCUGAUGCAGCCAUGCCGCGUGUGUGAAGAAGGCCUUCGGGUUGUAAAGCACUUUCAGCGGGGAGGAAGGCGUUAAGGUUAAUAACCUUGGCGAUUGACGUUACCCGCAGAAGAAGCACCGGCUAACUCCGUGCCAGCAGCCGCGGUAAUACGGAGGGUGCAAGCGUUAAUCGGAAUUACUGGGCGUAAAGCGCACGCAGGCGGUCUGUCAAGUCGGAUGUGAAAUCCCCGGGCUCAACCUGGGAACAGCAUUCGAAACUGGCAGGAUAGAGUGUUGUAGAGGGGGGUAGAAUGCCAGGUGUAGCGGUGAAAUGAGUAGAGAUCUGGAGGAAUACAGGUGGCGAAGGCGGCCCCCUGGACAAAGACUGACGCUCAGGUGGGAAAGCGUGGGGAGCAAACAGG
rnacentral:rRNA from 1 species